rnacentral:tRNA from 1 species
CGGCGGUUAGCUCAGUUGGAUCAGAGCACUGGAUUACGAAUCCAGGGGUCGCAGGUUCGAGUCCUGCACCGUCGGCCA